CCGGGGUCGAAGGCCCCCGCGGCAGCAGCCGGUGCCCCAGGCUCGGGGAGUGCAGCCCCGAGGUUGCAGGGGGUGCUGAUCGGGGACAGGCUGUACUCCGGGGUGCUCAUCACCUUGGAGAACUGUCUGCUGCCUGAGGACAAGCUCCGCUUCACGCCAUCCAUGUCGAACGGCCUGGACACAGACACGGAGACCGCCCUCCGCGUGGUGGGCUGCGAGCUCAUCCAGGCGGCUGGCACCCUGCUCCGUCUGCCGCAGGUGGCCAUGGCUACCGGGCAGGUGCUGUUCCAGCGGUUCUUUUAUAGCAAGUCCUUUGUGACGCAUUCCAUGGAACAUGUGUCAAUGGCCUGUGUUCACCUAGCCUCCAAAAUAGAAGAAGCUCCAAGACGAAUAAGAGAUGUUAUGAACGUGUUUCAUCGACUUCGACAGCUCAGAGAGAAAAAAAAACCGGUGCCUUUACUACUGGAUCAAGACUAUGUUAACCUAAAGAACCAGAUUAUCAAAGCAGAAAGACGAGUUCUCAAAGAGCUGGGUUUCUGCGUCCACGUUAAACAUCCUCACAAGAUAAUCGUUAUGUACCUUCAGGUGGUAGAAUGUGAGCGGAACCAUCACCUGGUCCAGACGUCAUGGAAUUACAUGAAUGACAGCCUUCGCACCGAUGUUUUCGUGAGGUUCCAGCCCGAGACCAUUGCCUGCGCUUGCAUCUAUCUCGCAGCCCGGGCGCUGGAGAUCCCUCUGCCCAGUCGUCCUCAUUGGUUUCUUUUGUUUGGAGCAACUGAAGAAGAAAUUCAAGAAAUCUGCUUAAAAAUCCUACAGCUCUAUACACGGAAAAAAGUUGAUCUGACUCACCUGGAAGGUGAGGUGGCAAAGAGAAAGCACGCCAUUGAGGAGGCAAAGGCACAAGCCCGGGCCCUGCGCUCUGCAGCUGCACAGGCUGCAGGCAGCACACCUGCCCCCAAGCUGCAGGCCCCCAAAGAAGGUAAGGGGAACAAAGCUUCCCCACUCUCUGUGAAGAGUACCAAGAGGAGAAUUGAGGGCACCAAGAAAACCAAAGCUGACGGCCCCGUGUAUGGCUUACCAAAGGGGCGAGAAAGUCGAAGUCGGAGCAGAAGCCGUGAGCAGAGCUACUCGAGGUUCCCAUCACGAUCUGCUUCUCCUAAGAGGAGGAAGAGUGACAGUGGCUCGACAUCUAGUCGCUCCAAGUCACAGAGCCAUUCUGGGAGCUCGAGCGAUUCCCCGCCAAGAAAGGUGCACCGUAGUGCUUUCUACAAAGGCUCCGAGGUGAAGAGCUCCCGGAAGUCCAAGGACUGCAAAUGUCACACUCAGAAGCCACACAAGUCUCAGAGCCGGAGAUCAUCCGGUUCUCGAAGCCGGUCACGGGAGCAGGCAGACGAUGCUGGAAAAUACAAGAAGAAAAGUCAUCACUAUAGAGAUCAGCCACGGGAGCAUGCGAGGUCACAUGGGCGCACAGGCCAUCAUUAUGAGCGGGACCACCCGGGGCACAGCAGGCACUGCAGGUGA